rnacentral:rRNA from 1 species
UACGGGGGGAGCAAGCGUUGUUCGGAUUUACUGGGCGUAAAGGGCGCGUAGGCGGCCUGUGCAAGUCAGUUGUGGAAUCUCCGAGCUUAACUCGGAACGGUCAACUGAUACUGCUCGGCUAGAGUGCGGAAGGGGCAACUGGAAUUCUCGGUGUAGCGGUGAAAUGCGUAGAUAUCGAGAGGAACACCUGCGGCGAAGGCGGGUUGCUGGGCUGAUACUGACGCUGAGGCGCGAAAGCCAGGGGAGCGAACAGG